CUAUCCAGAAUCAUCAGUAUCUACAAAGUACAAAAGCGCCAUUCAAAUAACCUGGAAAGUGGUAUCAGAUCCUAUCACUGUAAAUAAUCUUGGCUCAUUUUUAGAUCGCACACAGAUGCUAUACAAUUGAGCUGUUGCACAAUACUCCCUCCAAUCAUAAAUUCUUAUCGUUUGAACUAAGACCACGACAAGAAUUUAGGAACGGAGGGAGCAUCUCUGAGAAAAAUAGGUAAAACAAAUAUGAGCAGGUUAUGAUAUUGAAGUACAAAAAAAAAACACCAUGUUAUAGCGGAGGACGUAAAAAUCCUGCUCUUUUUGUAGAAGCCUACAAGGUCACAUGUUCAUAUUAAAAUGAGGAGAGAUAACAUAGCGAGGUUACAAGUGUUAUCGAUAUUAAAAUGAGGAGAGAUAGCAAAACGAGAGAUACUGCUUAUGUCAUGGGUCUCAAGAUUGCACAUACGUUUCUAGCUUUAGAAAUCUGAUCUUUUAUCUAAAAAGGUUGCUUGCAUCUCUUGCUUAAGGAUAGACAAACCAGCAAAAAAAAUAUAUUUGGAUGCUAAUUUAUUUUCAUAUUGACAGAGCAGCCUUUCUACCCUUUUGUCCACUACCAGCUCUUCUCUUUGCUAAUUUGGUGGGGUCUACUUCAGGUUGUUGUUUGAGGUUACACUCACUAGCAAGAUUUAUUGUUGCUACUUCCUCCAUUCUAAAAUACACCUCAUAUUAAGAUGUGCACUUAGACCAAGGCAUCUCUCGUUUCUAGUGUCUGACCACUCAUAUUGGGUUAAUAAUAAAUAGAUGUGAGUAGUUAUUGGCCGGGUGCGGAUACCAAGAGAAAAAUGAGGUGUAUUGUGGGACAAAUGAAAAAAAUCUAUACACGUUGUAUUGUGAAAUGGAGAAAGUACUUUGCAAGGUCCUGCCGUUUUGUCCUGCUACCCAACACCUCUUUGGUAAGUGGUGUGUGUUAUCAUACUAGGCUUUGCAGUUACUACAUCUGAGUAGUUAUGGUCAAUAUUGGUUAGGCUUUGUGUUGCAAGAAAAAUCUGAUUUAAUUCAAACUCUUCUGCCACAAAUUACAAAUUCCUGAUUUCAUUUCAGAUGGGGCAUGCUUGGCAUUCUUUACCAACAUAGGUAACUAUCAUGCAAUCUAUUGAUUCUCACAUGUGUUCAUUAACCCAAAGAUGACAUGGAUAAUAGAAUAAAGAGUUUUAAAUACAUGUAUGCCUCCUUCACUGUAGGAUGAGAUCCUUGGUUUUCUGUUAUCAAUAGCUCCACUUGAUAAGAACUGUUCUUAGUUGACUGGUUGUGUUCCUCUAACACUAAUCAUAUACAUUUACCUGCUGACUUAAUUUUAUUGAUUUGUUUCAUUUGCACUUUUACAGCUUUGUAUAGCAGUAGGCCAUCAUGUAUCUAUAAUAUUGGUAAUCUCAAUUUGUCAAGGUGAGAUGGACUUUACUUUUUCUGCUUAGGAUACCAUCGUUGCCUCCCACAUAGAAAUAAAUACAUUAAUAAUUUGAAAAAAGAAGCCCAUAACUACAUGCUUUCUUCUGGAGUCUCGAUAAGAAGCACAAUUUUGAAGGGCCCAAAUAUAUGUGUUCAAUUCUCUUUUGCUUGCACUACCUGUUCUCCACAUAUAUUUGUUGGUUCUGAUAUAUCGGAUGCUUGUGAGACAAAUCAAGACAAGGAAUGUCGGAGAUGAUGUUGGAUCCGACUCUGAAAACGAAUUCAACAUGAAGAUUAAUUGUUGUAACACCUUCUUUAGAUGUUGCCGUGAUGAUGUAGGAGAACAUCAAACAUCACUAUCCAGCUUAGUCAUGUGUUAUUUUCCUGGAUUGUGGCCGGAUUAUGUAUUGUUUUGGAUUCACAUGUGUAUAUAGUAAUUAUGUUCUUUUAGUUUUCGGUUAUCCACUUCUCUUGGACUUUAUUGGUUUCUUUUUCUAUCCUUGUCUGGAAGAGAUGCUAAGGUGAGGAGAGGAGGGGUUUAUUUCCUGGUUAAGUUUUCGGGCCUGACUAAACUGGCGAACCUUCGCCAACAUCCAAAUUGGUGGACGAAUUCCGAUGGUCCUGAAAUGAGUUGCUGUUUCAUACUUUUCGAUGGUGCCCAGUGAGUGACUAUAGACAUCCAUUGGCCGAGUGCGCCGCCCGACGCCGCACCCUCGCACGCCACCGCCCGCCGCCAGCCGCUCCUGCUUGCUUGCCGCCGCCUCGCACGCCGCCGGAAGUCGCUGCUCGCGCCGCCGCCUCCUCGCCCGCUGCCACCCGCUGCUCGCUGCGCCGCCUCCAGCCCUCAACGCUACCGCCCGCUGCUGCUGCCUGCGAGCGCCGACCUCCGUUGCUGCUCGCCGGAGGGAGAAGGGAAAGAGAAGAGAGGAGGAAGAAGGGAGGGAGGCACAGGAGGGCGCGCGCCGGCCUCCGCUGCUGCAGUCCGGCGCCGCCACGCGACUGCUGGCUCCGGGUCGCUGCUGCUCCGCCCCGCCUGCUCCACUGGCCCCAGCUCACCGUUGCUGCCCGCCGCUGGUCGCUGCUCGCGUGCGUGGAGAGGGCGCUCAGGUCGCAGGCAGAGAGAGAGAGAGAAAAGCAUCCAUGGCGGUCUGCUUCUGUACUCACGCGCAGGAGAUAAAGACAGGUAGGGGAGGAAGUUGCGUGGAUUGCAGAGGAGAGAGAGGAGAAAAAAAAAAAGAAGAGAAAGUGAACAUAGACAGUCAGAUCUGGGGGGCUCGAUCUCGCCACAUCAUCGAUAUGUGGCGGGUCACCUAGAUCGUUGCCGUUGCAAACUGUCUUUUUCGGAGGCCAGACUGUCGGCAAAGAUGAUUUCGUCGUUACCUCUGGGGAGGACAAUUUUUUUUUGCAUGUACACGUUUGAUAAGAUGUAUCUUGUUUUAAUUUUUGUGUAUUGAUUUGGAUUUUUAUACUAGGCUUAUACAAACAUAACAUGGCACCAUGCAAAAAAUUGUAAAUGUUUGGUAAAGUUUAGUAUCAUUUCAUUUUUUUCCUAUUAAA